AGCGGUAACAGCUCAAAUUUGAAAUCUGGCCCUUUUAGGGUCCGAGUUGUAAUUUGUAGAAGAUGCUUUGGGUGUGGCUCCGGUCUAAGUUCCUUGGAACAGGACGUCAUAGAGGGUGAGAAUCCCGUAUGUGACUGGCGGCCUUCGCCCGUGUAAAGCUCUUUCGACGAGUCGAGUUGUUUGGGAAUGCAGCUCUAAAUGGGAGGUAUAUUUCUUCUAAAGCUAAAUAUUGGCCAGAGACCGAUAGCGCACAAGUAGAGUGAUCGAAAGAUGAAAAGCACUUUGGAAAGAGAGUUAAACAGUACGUGAAAUUGUUGAAAGGGAAGCGCUUGCAACCAGACUUGCGUGCCGUCGAUCAUCGUGGGUUCUCCCGCGUGCACUCGGCGGCGUUCAGGCCAGCAUCGGUUCCGGUGGUUGGAUAAAGGCCUUGGGAAUGUGGCUCCUCUCGGGGAGUGUUAUAGCCCUCGGUGCAAUGCAGCCUACUGGGACCGAGGACCGCGCUUCGGCUAGGAUGCUGGCGUAAUGGUUGUAAGCGACCCGUCUUGAAACACGGACCAAGGAGUCUAACAUCUAUGCGAGUGUUAGGGUGUUAAACCCUUCCGCGAAAUUAACGUGAACGGAGGUACGAACCCUUUAGGGCGCAGUAUCGACCGGUCCUGAUGUCUUCGGAUGGAUCUGAGUAAGAGCAUAGCUGUUGGGACCCGAAAGAUGGUGAACUAUGCCUGAAUAGGGUGAAGCCAGAGGAAACUCUGGUGGAGGCUCGCAGCGGUUCUGACGUGCAAAUCGAUCGUCAAAUUAGGGCAUAGGGGCGAAAGACUAAUCGAACCAUU
rnacentral:rRNA from 1 species